rnacentral:rRNA from 1 species
AGUGAACGCUGGCGGUAGGCCUAACACAUGCAAGUCGAACGGCAGCACAGGAGAGCUUGCUCUCUGGGUGGCGAGUGGCGGACGGGUGAGGAAUACAUCGGAAUCUACUCUGUCGUGGGGGAUAACGUAGGGAAACUUACGCUAAUACCGCAUACAACCUACGGGUGAAAGCAGGGGACCUUCGGGCCUCGCGCGAUUGAAUGAGCCGAUGUCGGAUUAGCUAGUUGGCGGGGUAAAGGCCCACCAAGGCGACGAUCCGUAGCUGGUCUGAGAGGAUGAUCAGCCACACUGGAACUGAGACACGGUCCAGACUCCUACGGGAGGCAGCAGUGGGGAAUAUUGGACAAUGGGCGCAAGCCUGAUCCAGCCAUACCGCGUGGGUGAAGAAGGCCUUCGGGUUGUAAAGCCCUUUUGUUGGGAAAGAAAUCCAGCUGGCUAAUACCCGGUUGGGAUGACGGUACCCAAAGAAUAAGCACCGGCUAACUUCGUGCCAGCAGCCGCCGUAA